AGAAGUUUAGGUUAAAUAGACCAAGAGCCUUCAAAGCCCUAAGUAAGUAUAAUCCACUUAACUUCUG
rnacentral:tRNA from 1 species